CUGCUAUCACAUAAGUCCUGUUUUAAGUAGCCCUAGUGCCUUGAUACAGCAGUUACUCAUUUCUAUACUAAAGUCAAAGUGGAUACACAUGUGACACGGGUGCUGUCACUUUCCCAGCCAAUUUUCGAAGCAGACAUGACUAAGUGAUCACAGCACUCUAUCUGGGCCUCACAAGCCAUCACAACAGGAUUCCAGGUGGCCCCAAAGAAAUUAACUGGAGUUGGCACACAAAAGAAAAGUUAUUGGUCAUCAAUGUUCUAGAAUGGCAUCUACUUACAGGAAAGUACUGUGUCCUUUCCAUGGUUGGAAUCACAGUAUUUGCUCUGUGUUUGACACAAGGAGCCAGUGGGGCUCUACGGAUGUAGGAGGAGAGGCCCUGCUUCCUGGUGCCUGCUGGGAGAACUUUCUUCAAAGACACUACCUCCUGAAAAGAGAACUCAAUUUAUCAAAAGGAAAUUCAAGUGGAGUGAAGACUACCAGGUUCAUGUACGAAGUCAGCAUUAUCCUAAUUCCAAAAUAAGAUAAAGACACUACAAAAAAAGAAAAUUAUAGGCCAAUAUCCCUGAUGAAAAUAGAUGCUAAAAUCCUCAACAAAAUAUUUGCAAAUCAGAUCCAGCAGCACAUUAAGAAGAUCAUACACCACGAUCAAGUGGGAUUUGUUCCUGGGAUGCAAGGUUGGCACAAUAUCCGCAAAUGAAUAAAUGCGAUACAGCACAUAAACAGAAUGAAGAAUAAGUAUCACAUGAUCUUAUCAAUCGAUGCAGAAAAGGCAGCUGAUAAAAUCCAACACCCAUUUAUAAUUUAAAAAAACAAACGAACCUCUCAGCCAAGUGGGAUCAUACCUCAACAUAAUAAAGGCCAUAUAUGACAAACCUACUGCCAACAGCAUACUCAACGGGUCAAAACUGAAAGUAUUUCUCUUAAGACUGGGAACAAGACAAAGAUGUCUGUCUGCUUUCACCACUCUUAUUCAACAUAGUACUGGACUUCCUAACCACAGCAAUCAGAAAUAAAAUUUAUUUAUA